rnacentral:rRNA from 1 species
AGAGUUUGAUCCUGGCUCAGGAUGAACGCUGGCGGCGUGCCUAAUACAUGCAAGUCGAACGCUUCACGGAAGUGAAGAGUGGCGAACGGGUGAGUAAGACAUAAGUAACCUGCCCUCUGCAGGGGGAUAACUGCUGGAAACGGGAGCUAAAACCGCAUAGAUACAGAGGCCGCAUGGUAACUGUAUAAAAGCAGCUACGGCUGCGGCAGGGGAUGGACUUAUGGCGCAUUAGCUAGUUGGCGGGGCAACGGCCCACCAAGGCUGACGAUGCGUAGCCGACCUGAGAGGGUGACCGGCCACACUGGGACUGAGACACGGCCCAGACUCCUACGGGAGGCAGCAGUAGGGAAUUUUCGGCAAUGGAGGGAACUCUGACCGAGCAACGCCGCGUGAAGGAAGAAGGAAUUCGUUCUGUAAACUUCUGUCAUAGAGGAAGAAAGAAAUGAUCAGGGAAUGGGUCAGGGAAGACGGUACUCUAUAAGAAAGCCACGGCUAACUACGUGCCAGCAGCCGCGGUAAAACGUAGGUGGCGAGCGUUAUCCGGAAUUAUUGGGCGUAAAGAGGGAGCAGGCGGCACUCAGGGUCUGUGGUGAAAGAACGGAGUUCAACUCCGUAGGGCCAUGGAAACCGGAGAGCUAGAGAGUGCGAGAGGAUCGCGGAAUUCCAUGUGUAGCGGUGAAAUGCGUAGAUAUAUGGAGGAACACCAGUGGCGAAGGCGGCGGUCUGGCGCACAACUGACGCUCAGUCCCGAAAGCGUGGGGAGCAAAUAGGAUUAGAUACCCUAGUAGUCCACGCCGUAA